UGGGGAAUAUUGGGCAAUGGGCGAAAGCCUGACCCAGCAACGCCGCGUGAGGGAAGAAGGGUUUCGGCUCGUAAACCUCUGUCCUAUGGGACGAAGGAAGUGACGGUACCAUAGGAGGAAGCCCCGGCUAACUACGUGCCAGCAGCCGCGGUAAUACGGAGGGUGCGAGCGUUGUCCGGAAUCAUUGGGCGUAAAGAGUUCGUAGGUGGCCUGUUAAGUCUGGUGUUAAAUGCAGAUGCUCAACAUCUGUUCGGCACUGGAUACUGGCAAGCUUGAAUGCGGUAGAGGUAAAGGGAAUUCCUGGUGUAGCGGUGAAAUGCGUAGAUAUCAGGAGGAACAUCGGUGGCGUAAGCGCUUUACUGGGCCGUAAUUGACACUGAGGAACGAAAGCCAGGGUAGCAAAUGGGAUUAGAUACCCCAGUAGUCCUGGCCGUAAACGAUGGAUACUAGGUGUUGCGGGUAUCGACCCCUGCAGUGCCGAAGCAAACGCGAUAAGUAUCCCGCCUGGGGAGUACGCACGCAAGUGUGAAACUCAAAGGAAUUGACGGGGACCCGCACAAGCAGUGGAGUAUGUGGUUUAAUUCGAAGCAACGCGAAAAACCUUACCAGGGCUUGACAUCUAACAAACACUUGUGAAAGCGAGUGGUGCUCUUCGGAGAAUGUUAAGACAGGUGGUGCACGGUUGUCGUCAGCUCGUGUCGUGAGAUGUUGGGUUAAGUCCCGCAACGAGCGCAACCCUCGUCGUUAGUUGGAUGUGUCGGUACACUUACACAUUCCUCUCUAGCGAGACUGCCAGUGAUAAACCGGAGGAAGGUGGGGACGACGUCAAAUCAUCAUGCCCCUUAUGCUCUGGGCUACACACGUGUUACAAUGGCUGGUACAACGAGCCGCCAACUCGUGAGAGUGAGCAAAUCUCUAAAAACCAGUCUCAGUUCGGAUUGCACUCUGCAACUCGAGUGCAUGAAGUCGGAAUCGCUAGUAAACGCAGAUCAGCACGCUGCGUUGAAUACGUUCCC
rnacentral:rRNA from 1 species